UACGUAGGGGGCAAGCGUUGUCCGGAUUUAUUGGGCGUAAAGCGCGCGCAGGUGGUGCGGUAAGUCCUGUGUGAAAUCUCCCGGCUCAACUGGGAGGGUGCGGAGGAGACUGCCGGACUGGAGGCACUCAGAGGCCGGUGGAAUUCCCGGUGUAGUGGUGGAAUGCGUAGAUAUCGGGAGGAACACCAGUGGCGAAGGCGGCUUCCUGGACCUGUUCUGACACUGAGGAGCGAAAGCGUGGGGAGCGAGUCCGG
rnacentral:rRNA from 1 species